UACAGAGGUCCCAAGCGUUGUUCGGAUUCAUUGGGCGUAAAGGGCGCGUAGGCGGCCUGAUCAGUCGGGGGUGAAAGCCUGUGGCUCAACCACAGAAUGGCCUCGAUACUGUCAGGCUUGAGACCGGAAGAGGUAAGUGGAACUGCGAGUGUAGAGGUGAAAUUCGUAGAUAUUCGCAAGAACACCAGUGGCGAAGGCGGCUUACUGGUCCGGAUCUGACGCUGAGGCGCGAAAGCGUGGGGAGCAAACAGGG
rnacentral:rRNA from 1 species